rnacentral:rRNA from 1 species
AUUGAACGCUGGCGGCAGGCCUAACACAUGCAAGUCGAACGAGCGGCGGACGGGAGAGUAAUGGCUGGGAAACUGCCCGAUGGAGGGGGAUAACUACCGGAAACGGUAGCUAAUACCGCAUACCAUCGGAUGUGCCCAGAUGGGAGUAGCUAGUGGGUGGGGUAACGGCUCACCUCGGCGACGAUCCCUAGCUGGUCUGAGAGGAUGACAAGACACACUGGAACUGAGACACGGUCCAGACUCCUACUGGAGGCAGCAGUGGGGAAUAUUGCACAAUGGGCGCAGGCCUGAUGCAGCCAUGCCGCGUGUGUGAAGAAGGCAUUCGGGUUGUAAAGUACUUUAAGCGAGGAGGCGUUACUCGCAGAAGAAGCACCGGCUAACUCCGUGCCAGCAGCCGCGGUAAUAC